GUGUCAGCCGCCGCGGUAAUACGGAGGGUGCGAGCGUUAAUCGGAAUUACUGGGCGUAAAGCGUGCGUAGGCGGUUCGUUAAGUCAGAUGUGAAAGCCCUGGGCUCAACCUGGGAACUGCAUUUGAAACUGGCGGACUAGAGUUUAGUAGAGGGGAGUGGAAUUUCAGGUGUAGCGGUGAAAUGCGUAGAUAUCUGAAGGAACACCAGUGGCGAAGGCGACUCCCUGGACUAGAACUGACGCUGAGGUACGAAAGCGUGGGUAGCAAACAGGAUUAGAUACCCUGGUAGUCCACGCCGUAAACGAUGUCGACUAGCCGUUGGCCCUAUUUACAGGGUUAGUGGCGCAGCUAACGCAUUAAGUCGACCGCCUGGGGAGUACGGCCGCAAGGUUAAAACUUAAAUGAAUUGGCGGGG
rnacentral:rRNA from 1 species